AUGCUCACUUCAGCAGCACAUAUACUAAAAUUGGAAUGAUAUAGAGGAUAUUAGCAUGGCCCCUGGGGAAGGAUGACAAGCAGAUUCUUAGAGCAUUAAAUAU